UUCAGUGCACCCCUCUGCUGUAGCUCCCACCGCAAUUAACUGAAAUUCUCUUUUUGUGUGUCUGUCUCUCCUAUUGUCCCAUAAGCAGCUUGAGAGCAGAGGUGAGAAGUCAGCCAUGGUGUAAAGCAGUCCAGGCUCUCCUACUGUAGAGGCCAUGUGGAGACAGAAACCCUGGAGGAUGGGAAGCCAUGUGGAGGGGAAUAAGCCAGUGAAGCCCUCUCUCACUCCACCCUCGUCAAGCUCCCAGCUAAAUGCAGCCACAUGAAUGACCUCACCUGCUUUGUGGAGCAGAAGAACCACCCAGGCACAAUCCAGACAAGACAUCCCAGCACUGCUUCCAGACCUCUGCUUGAAGGUGGGAUUCUUCAAUCUCCUGGACAUUCUUAGAGUCUGGCUUUACACCACGUCUCCUUUGCACGAUGGCAACACCAGCAGUAUCUGCCCAUGUGCAAGAGAGCCUCUGCAACAGCCCAAUGGAGAAAUGGAGGAGUUUCCAGGCCCACGUGACACUGAAUCACAAUUGUCUUUUACCGCUUGGGAUGAUGAUGCCAUCACUUUUCUCUAAUUUUUUUUUUUUUUUUUGAGGCAGCCUCACUGUCACCCAGGCUGGAGUGUAGUGGCGUGAUCUUGGCUUACUGAAACCUCCACCUCCCGGGUUCAAGUGAUUCUCCUGCCUCAGCCUCCUGAGUAGCUGGGAUUAUGCCUACUAUAUCUCCAGCCUACAGGUGUGCGCCACCACGCCCAGCUAAUUUUUAUAUUUUCAGUAGAGACAGGGUUUCACCAAGUUGGCCAGGCUGGUCUUGAACUCCUGGCCUCAAGUGAUCCGCCUGCCUUGGCCUCCCAAAGUGCUUGGAUUACAGGCGUGAGCCACUGUGCUCGGCCACUUUCCUCUGAUUUUUAAGUGAAGUAUAUACAUACAUACAUACACAGCAGGCAAGUGGAAUUCCAAGCACAGAGGGCUUUUCAGCAUAAUUCUGAGAAGGCAACUUUGAGCAAAUAACUUGCAGACAUUAUACAAUUCUUUCUUGUUAAAGUCAAGGCAAGCUUUUCUGGGAAGGGGCAUGAAGACCUUGACAUAGUCUGCUUAGUUUUAUUUAUUUAUUUAUUUAUUUAUUUAUUUAGAGACGGAAUCUCGUUCUGUCACCCAGGCUGGAGUGCAGUAGCGCGAUCUCAGCUCACUGCAACCUCCGCCUCCCCGGUUCCAGGUUCAAGGAAUUCUCCAGCCUCAGCCUCCCGAGUAGCUGGGAUUACAGGCCAUAGUCUGCUUUAAAAAUAAUAAUAAUAAUAAUAAAAGACAACAGUGAAGAAGAAAGAAAGAAUGAUUCCCUCUUCGCACAAGAA
rnacentral:lncRNA from 10 species